UCACGAUAUAAAUAAUAGUUAAAUAUUACGAACUAUAGUUUAAAAUCUAAAGAUUUUGGCGGUGUCUUAUAAAACCAGGGGAACCUGUCUCAUAACUCGAUAAUCCACGCAUAUUCAACCUUCUCUAGACAUACAGCAUGUGUACUGCCGUUGUAAGUGUACCUUUAAAAGAAUAAGUAUACUGCUAUGGUUAAUAACCAACCCAUUCACAUCAGGUCAAAGUGCAGCUAAUAAGAAGGUGACGAUGGGUUACAACCCCUAAAUAGAUUAUCAACCAAGAAAUAAAAAAUCUUAUGAAAGUGGACUUGGCCGUAAUCAAUUUAUAAACCUAAAAAAAUGAAUAUUCCUCUAAGACAUGUACACAUCGCCCGUCACUCUAUCCUAAAGGUU
rnacentral:rRNA from 1 species